rnacentral:rRNA from 1 species
CAAAAACAUAGUUAUCAGAAAAUAUUGAUAAUUUAUUCUGCUCAAUGAAUAAUUAAAUAGCCGCAGUACCUUGACUGUGCAAAGGUAGCAUAAUCAUUUGGCUUAUAAUUGAAGUCUUGUAUGAAGGAAAUGAUGGGGGAUGACUAUAUCAUAGGUAUAAUAUUAAAUUAAUCAAAAAGUGCAAAUGCUUUUUUUCAAUUAAUAGACGAGAAGACCCUUGAAAUUUUAAGAAUAUGAAAAUAAUAGUUUUUGUUGGGGCAACAAUGUAACAGGUAACUUACAUUUAUUACAAGAAAUAAUAAUAGGUUGAUAAAAUUACUCUAGGGAUAACAGCGUAAUAUUUAAAUGUUUGCGACCUCGAUGUUGGAUUAGGGAACAAUAACCUAGAAGGCUACUUGGCAUGCUCUGUUCGAGC